GACGAACGCUGGCGGCGUGCUUAACACAUGCAAGUCGAACGGAAAGGCCCUGCUUUUGUGGGGUGCUCGAGUGGCGAACGGGUGAGUAACACGUGAGUAACCUGCCCUUGACUUUGGGAUAACUUCAGGAAACUGGGGCUAAUACCGGAUAGGAGCUCCUGCUGCAUGGUGGGGGUUGGAAAGUUUCGGCGGUUGGGGAUGGACUCGCGGCUUAUCAGCUUGUUGGUGGGGUAGUGGCUUACCAAGGCUUUGACGGGUAGCCGGCCUGAGAGGGUGACCGGCCACAUUGGGACUGAGAUACGGCCCAGACUCCUACGGGAGGCAGCGGUGGGGAUUAUUGCACAAUGGGCGGAAGCCUGAUGCAGCAACGCCGCGUGCGGGAUGACGGCCUUCGGGUUGUAAACCGCUUUCGCCUGUGACGAAGCGUGAGUGACGGUAAUGGUUAAAGAAGCACCGGCUACCUACGU
rnacentral:rRNA from 1 species